UUGACUUGCGAUCCUAAGCUAACGGCGGCGAGAGGAGCGGCGCCGCUUGGGGUGUGAGGUCGCCGUCACUAGGAGGUCGGAGUAGUCCGGCGCGUGAGGUCGGGCGGUGGGCGGAGGUGGGUCGCCGGAGUGUGGUGGUUAUGGAGGUUUAUGGGUUUUAUUUUUGUAUUUUAAAGAGAGAGAAAGAGAGAAAGGUAGAUAGAAUGAGAGAGGGGGACGAAGGGGGUUCAGUAUAUAUUCAAAGUAAUAUUUUUUUUUAUUACAUACAUAUAUAUUAUUUUAUUAUUAUUUUAUAUAUAUAUAAAAGCACAUUUGACUCGGUCAAACCGAGUCUUUUCAGCUAAGGGUCCAGUUCAAAAGAAACAACAACAGGAUUCUAAGGGUUGUUUCUUUUGUGACCAACCUGGACAUGUGAAGAAAGAUUGUGCCAAAUAUCACGCAUGGCGUGUAAAGAAAGGGUUGCCUGAGCUACCGAAAGCCAAGUGAUGGUGAAAGAUACAUCUUUGUGGGCGAUGGUCAAUCGAUGGAAGUGGAAGCAAUUGGGCAUUUCAGAUUGUUAUUAGAAACUGGUUCUUAUUUGGAUUUGAAAGACACUUUUGUUGUGCCGUCUUUUAGGCGGAAUUUAGUUUCUGUUUCUUUGUUGGACAAAUUUGGAUAUUGUUGUUCAUUUGGAAACAAUCAGUUUACUUUGUCUUUAAAUUCAAAUAUUAUUGGAACUGGUUAUUUGAAUACU